UAACAUAAGUAACCUAGCCGUUUACUACGGGGAGUAACUGCGUGGAAACGGGCGAGCUAAGACCGCAUAGGUAGGGACACUGCAUGGUGACCGUAUUAAAGUAGCUGCAAGGCACUGGUAGAGAUGGACUUAUGGCGCAUUAGCUGGUUGGUGAGGUAACGGCUCACCAAGGCGACGAUGCGUAGCCGACCUGAGAGGGUGACCGGCCANACUGGGACUGAGACACGGCCCAGACUCCUACGGAAGGCAGCAG
rnacentral:rRNA from 1 species